GGAAGUAUAGGCCAGCAAGGGUGUGAGGAGGUGUAGCAAGCUACAUUUACCUUAAAACAUCUUUAAGCUAUUAAAGCUUAAUCACAGUAACGGUACGGUCCCCUAGUUACGAACCAUACUCGUUAACUGUACUAACUCACUUUCUGUUGCGCUAUCAUAACCUAGCGUACGACAGCAAGACUCCAGGAAUGGAGAUGGCGGCAGGUGGGCCGCAUUUAAGCCACCCUGGUGAAGUGCUUCGGCCAGACACUUUCGUAUGUUGCUGGGCUUUGGAGGCAAACAGAGCACGAAGGGGCAAGUACCAUGUCCCCAGGGGGCAGCAGUUUUGCCACUGUUGUGGUACUAAUAGCCGAAUUGAG
rnacentral:lncRNA from 1 species